AGGAAUGUUGUAAACGAGUGGCCGUCGCUUUACAUAUUAUCUAUAAGCGGANGAAAUGAUACCAACAGGNAGGGCUUAGUAACGGCGAGUGAAGCGGCAAAAGCUCNAAUUUGAAAUCUGGCACCUUCGGUGUCCGAGUUGUAAUUUGAAGAAGGUAACUUUGGAGUCAGCUCUUGUCUAUGUUCCUUGGAACAGGACGUCACAGAGGGUGAGAAUCCCGUGCGAUGAGAUGUCUGAUUCUAUGUAAAGUGCUUUCNAAGAGUCGAGUUGUUUGGGAAUGCGCUCUAAGUGGUUGGUAAAUUCCAUCUAAAGCUAAAUAUUGGCGAGAAACCGAUAGCGAACAAGUACAGCGAUGGAAAGAUGAAAAGAACUUUGAAAAGGGAGCGAAAAAGUACGUGAAAUUGUUGAAAGGGAAGGGUUUGAGAUCAGACUUGGUAUUUUGUAUGUCUUGCUUUCGGGUGGUGCCUCUACAGAUUACUGGGCCAGCAUCGGUUUGGACGGNAGGAUAAUGACAUUGCAAUGUGGCACCACUUCGGUGGUGUGUUAUAGACUUUGUUGAUACUGUCUGUCUANACCGAGGACUGCGUCUU
rnacentral:rRNA from 1 species